rnacentral:rRNA from 1 species
AGUGAACGCUGGCGGUAGGCCUAACACAUGCAAGUCGAACGGCAGCACAGUAAGAGCUUGCUCUUACGGGUGGCGAGUGGCGGACGGGUGAGGAAUACAUCGGAAUCUACUUUUUCGUGGGGGAUAACGUAGGGAAACUUACGCUAAUACCGCAUACGACCUACGGGUGAAAGCAGGGGAUCUUCGGACCUUGCGCGAUUGAAUGAGCCGAUGUCGGAUUAGCUAGUUGGCGGGGUAAAGGCCCACCAAGGCGACGAUCCGUAGCUGGUCUGAGAGGAUGAUCAGCCACACUGGAACUGAGACACGGUCCAGACUCCGACGGGAGGCAGCAGUGGGGAAUAUUGGACAAUGGGCGCAAGCCUGAUCCAGCCAUACCGCGUGGGUGAAGAAGGCCUUCGGGUUGUAAAGCCCUUUUGUUGGGAAAGAAAAGCAGCAGGUUAAGACCCCGCUGUUCUGACUGUACCCAAAGAAUAAGCACCGGCGAACUUCGU